ACUCUGACCUCUGACUGUUCGCACAAAUGUCCUUCAGUGAUUCCUGAAAUCUGGUUGGUUUGAGACAGUUGUCUUUCGUGGUUUUGUUUGUUUGUUUUUUGUUAUUGUUUUUAUUUAUUUUUUUUUUUUUGGUUGUUUUGCCCUGAAGUUUCAAAUCAACGUGCAGGGCCGGACUCUUUCUUUUUAGGCCGAGGGGUUGCCCACACAAAGGACCAAAAGGCUCCAUCACUGUGUGACAGGUAGAUUUCUUUUUCUUCCUAUGUACUAAAGUGUCCUCACCAGAGAUCUUUCUACCGUGCCUGAAAGGGACCUGAGACAGAAGUUAGAAAUGAAAUCAGGAAAGCUGAUGCUUCUUCAACCUCAUGUUUCUUUUACCAGACAGAGCAAUGAAGUGAACUCCCCGAGUCGUUCUUCUGUCUUUAAGGUGGAGAAGAGAAUGCUGGGGGCUUCAGUUGUGCAGAGCGGUGGGGUGGGGUGCACUAUGCCCUGCCAGCAAGAUCUUGCUGUGCCUGUAGAAGAAGUCACCCUAGUGACCCCCUUGGUCUCAGCUAGUUCACUGAACAACUAGGAGUUGCAUCUUAGAUCGUUGGCUCCUGUCAAAUGUUUCCCAUGAAACUGGAAGAACAUGCGUGUGUUUUUUAAAAGAUACUUCUCAGAAUCAUGACAUCAUCCUCAUGCCACCGACUGUGUCUCCUCAAAACACUUCCUGACUGCAAUUCCACAUUUUGAAACAAAUGGACCCACCUCUGCCUCUGUUCUGACGUGGAAUCCGCAGAAGGAAAUCAGAUACAGUUGGUGAUGUGUGAUAAGACGGUGUUCACAGAGACAUUAAUAACAGAGCUGAGCUGUGGCAGAUGAACACAUACUUUCCAGGUGAAAAGACAGAGACAACGAAGUGGAACAGCUUGGCAUGCAUCUCUGCUGUAAAACCCCUCACGGCAUACAAGUGACUUCUAUUCAAUGUGGCAUGAAUGGCAAGUAAAUGAAGGCUUUCAGUGUAAUGAGUUUGAAAAGGCUAACGGGAGGUUCCUGGACCAGAGGCUCACAAGUUAAGGGGAUUGCAGCUUACCACUUGCCUAUCAAAAGUGUAUGACUAACAGCAGGAAGGAUGAGCAGAUUCGUGUAUCAGAAGAAUACGGGAUGGAGUAUGGGCAGAUGUGCCUUGGGGAAGAAGCUGUAAGGCACAGGGUACAACUUGGAAAAGAUCACUGUCUGUGAGCACGGUCAUGUGACCUUUACUUUGUACUAGACAAGGUGGCUGGGCGCUGCCCAGGUGGUCUGCAAGCAGAUUCAAGGCCCGAUAUCCAAGUGGGAGCUGAUGAAAGUGAGAAGGGCUAUCUAAAUGGUGGGCUGAUAUCUUUGAUAUUAUUCUGGGAGGAAUCAUGGGAACAUUGGAAUAGUGAUGAGGUCCUUCUAGUCUUUAAUUAGUUUAAUUCAUAGUCCUUGGGAGAUAUGCAGGUUUGAUGUCCAGUGGAGAUGUGAGUUUGGAACUCAGGAUAAAGGUCUUAGAGGUGUCAGCAAAAGCCCUCUCCAUGAGAUGGAACCCAUCGCUGACACUGCUUGGGUGACAAGAACAUGAGAUUAGUUGUGUCAGAGACCUAAGGUAAGACCAAAUACUGCUGUUCUGCUAUAGGAAAUUAGCAAUAAAAUGCCUUCUAAUGAUGUUCUGCUAUACUCAUAGACCAGCCCCUUGCUCAGACAUCAUCAAAAAAGUUUUUUUCUGCAGCAGAUGGAACAAAUACAGAGGCCCACAACUGGACAAUGUGCACACACAAUCAAGGUGUCGCUAUCAAAUCUCUCCCCUCAAAGCUCAGGAAACCCUGCUGAAGAGGAGGUAGGAAGCUUGUAAGAGCCAGGUGAGAUUUAAGAUGAGAAGGAAAUGGGGCCUUCUAAAUGCAGCAGGACAGACACACAUAAACUCACACAUACUGUGGCCAUGUGCACAGGGUCUGUCUGCAUGGAUCUAAUCCAGACGGGGUCCCAGCGCUGAAAGGAAGAGUGGGCACAGGCUCACAUCCCUCACACAGAAGUUAUCUUCAAUUGAUAACUGCUUGCAUAGCAAAAAAUAUAGGGUUUUGUUUUUCUUUUUGUUUCUAUUUUUGUUUUUCUCCCAAUGGAGUCUCCCUGGGUAUACAAACCAUUCUUAAAUUCAAGCCCCAUGCCCAGCAGUAGAUGGCUAACACAAACUGAACUCAGUGGUGUUGUGAGAGGUUAUUUGUUCCACCAUGCUGUGAAGGAGCAUCUUAGGGUU
rnacentral:sRNA from 1 species